rnacentral:rRNA from 1 species
GAUGAACGCUGGCGGCGUGCCUAAUACAUGCAAGUCGAGCGAACAGACGAGGAGCUUGCUCCUCUGACGUUAGCGGCGGACGGGUGAGUAACACGUGGAUAACCUACCUAUAAGACUGGGAUAACUUCGGGAAACCGGAGCUAAUACCGGAUAAUAUAUUGAACCGCAUGGUUCAAUAGUGAAAGACGAUUUUGCUGUCACUUAUAGAUUGAUCCGCGCCGCAUUAGCUAGUUGGUAAGGUAACGGCUUACCAAGGCAACGAUGCGUAGCCGACCUGAGAGGGUGAUCGGCCACACUGGAACUGAGACACGGUCCAGACUCCUACGGGAGGCAGCAGUAGGGAAUCUUCCGCAAUGGGCGAAAGCCUGACGGAGCAACGCCGCGUGAGUGAUGAAGGUCUUCGGAUCGUAAAACUCUGUUAUUAGGGAAGAACAAAUGUGUAAGUAACUAUGCACGUCUUGACGGUACCUAAUCAGAAAGCCACGGCUAACUACGUG